GACGAACGCUGGCGGCGUGCUUAACACAUGCAAGUCGAACGGAAAGGCCCUGCUUUUGUGGGGUGCUCGAGUGGCGAACGGGUGAGUAACACGUGAGUAACCUGCCCUUGACUUUGGGAUAACUUCAGGAAACUGGGGCUAAUACCGGAUAGGAGCUCCUGCUGCAUGGUGGGGGUUGGAAAGUUUCGGCUGUUGGUGAUGGACUCGCGGGUUAUCAGCUUGUUUGUGGGGUAGUGGCUUACCAAGGCUUUGACGGGUAGCCGGCCUGUGAGGGUGACUGGGGAGAUUGGGACUGAGAUACGGCACAGAAUACUACGGGAGGCAGCAGGGGGAAAUAGUGCACAAUGGGCGGAAGCCUGAUGCAGAAACGCCGCGUGCGGGAUGACGGCCUUCGGGUUGUAAACCGAUUUCGCCUGUGACGAAGAGUGAGUGACGGUAAUGGGUAAAGAAGCACCGGCUAACUACGUG
rnacentral:rRNA from 1 species